rnacentral:rRNA from 1 species
UACGGAGGGUGCAAGCGUUAUCCGGAUUCACUGGGUUUAAAGGGUGCGUAGGUGGGCAGAUAAGUCAGUGGUGAAAUCCCCGAGCUUAACUUGGGAACUGCCGUUGAUACUAUUUGUCUUGAAUGCCGUAGAGGUAAGCGGAAUAUGUCAUGUAGCGGUGAAAUGCUUAGAUAUGACAUAGAACACCAAUUGCGAAGGCAGCUUACUAUGCGGAUAUUGACACUGAGGCACGAAAGCGUGGGUAGCAAACAGG